rnacentral:lncRNA from 1 species
AGGUUUUCUCUCACUGCCACUAUGAUCACAUUUUAUUUCUGGUUCCUUAUUAAUCGCUCUCAUUCUCAUAGAUUUCCUAUCUAGUUUAUUAUUCUCUAACAGCAGUUAUUGCCCAAGUUUCUUGACAUUUAAUAGAACAUGUUCUUCCCCUAAACUAAAUUUACUCACUGUUCACACAGUGUAACAUCCUGGGCUCAAGAAUGAUUAAUUUCAAAAUAAGGGAGAUUGAUUAUAUAUAUAUAUGUUAAUGAUAAUAAUAAAAUAAUGAUAAUAAUAAUAAUAACAAUAAAAAAUUUAUUUAUCAAGAAAGUGUAAAAUAAUGAAGAAAAAAAUUCAUUUUGGACCUUUUUGAAACAAAUUUUAGAAAUUAGGGCCAAUCUAUAAAAUAAGGGGGGGACUUACUUGAAAGAAACUUGGAAAACCAGGGCCACUUCGUAAAUGAAAGGAAAUGGGCCACGUAGGAUGACCAUGUUAGCAGCAUGGAAAAUCAAGACGUGCCGCAUGGCAAAUGUGUCAGCAGGCCUCUCCACGCAGGAAGCCAUGCUGGCGAUUCGCAUGCCAGAGGGAUCGAAUGACUUGGAUUUAUUCCCACUCGCAUGAAUAGCCAGAUCUCGAUCUCGCCUAAAUUUGAAUGAGCGGCCCUGAUUGCCCAUGUGAUAGAUCCAACAAUCGCACGAUCGAUGGCUCAGAUUUGCAGGGCUGAUCUAUCGAACGGUUCGGAAUAUGUAAGGGAGGAGAAUAUGAUGGGAUGCCCUAAAUAAGCAAGAUCGGAUGGUCCCUAUUGAUCCACACGGACCAGAAUAAACAAAUUAGAUUAAUGGGAGAGAGGUAUUUAAACCUCUUAUUC